rnacentral:rRNA from 1 species
GAUGAACGCUGGCGGCGUGCCUAAUACAUGCAAGUCGAGCGAACGGACGAGAAGCUUGCUUCUCUGAUGUUAGCGGCGGACGGGUGAGUAACACGUGGAUAACCUACCUAUAAGACUGGGAUAACUUCGGGAAACCGGAGCUAAUACCGGAUAAUAUUUUGAACCGCAUGGUUCAAAAGUGAAAGACGGUCUUGCUGUCACUUAUAGAUGGAUCCGCGCUGCAUUAGCUAGUUGGUAAGGUAACGGCUUACCAAGGCAACGAUGCAUAGCCGACCUGAGAGGGUGAGCGGCCACACUGGAACUGAGACACGGUCCAGACUCCGACGGGAGGCAGCAGCGGGGAAUCUUCCGCAAUGGGCGAAAGCCUGACGGAGCAACGCCGCGUGAGUGAUGAAGGUCUUCGGAUCCUAAAACUCUGUUAUUAGGGAAGAACAUAAGUGUAAGUAACUGUGCACAUCUUGACGGUACCUAAUCAGAAAGCCACGGCUAACUACGUG